GGCUUUAUAGUCAAAAAAUGAUUUUAGAUUGCAAAUCUAAAGGUAAAUAAAUAUUUUAAGGCUU
rnacentral:tRNA from 1 species